rnacentral:snRNA from 1 species
UGUUUUAACAAUUUCUGAAGCACAUAUAUAAAAUUGGAAAGAUACAGAAAAGAUUAGCAUGGCCCCUGUGCAAGG